rnacentral:rRNA from 1 species
UCAAGAAACUUCCACAAUGGGCGAAAGCCUGAUGGAGCGACGUCGCGUGAUGGACGAAGUGCUUCGGCACGUAAACAUCUUUUUAUGUGGGAUGAAAUUAUUGACAGUACCACAUGAAUAAGGGGCUCCUAACUCUGUGCCAGCAGGAGCGGUAAUACAGAGGCCCCAAGCGUUAUCCGGAAUCACUGGGCGUAAAGGGUGUCGAGGCGGUUGUAUUAGUCGUUCGUAAAAUCUACGAGCUUAACUUGUAGGCGGCGAACGAAACGGUACGACUUGAGGUUUGGAGAGGUGCGUGGAACUCACGGUGUAGGGGUGAAAUCCGUUGAUAUCGUGGGGAACACCAAAGGCGAAGGCAGCGCACUGGCCAAAAUCUGACGCUCACACACGAAAGCUAGGGUAGCGAAGAGGAUUAGAUACCCCCAUAGUCCCUGAGCGGGCUGGCAAGGCGCAU